GUAAACCAAGCUGCAUGGGUCCUGACACACAAGGCCUGCCACAGGAACACUCAGCCCCAAUUCAGUAUAGUUUUCUAUUGACUUGACUACUCUAACCUGCAAGAUCUCAAACUGAAUAUACAAAAAGACAGUCUAUGGAUGUCAAUACUGAGAUAACAGAGAAGCUAAAGUUAUCUGAAGCAAAAUGUAAAACAAUCAUGAUAAAACUGAUGAAGAUGGCCUUUUCUGGUCCGCCUGGUAAACUCCUAUUCUUCCUUCAGAUUCAGCCCAAAUCAGUCUUCAGUAAUAAUUCUCACUUACUGGACUUGGCGCUUGACUGAGAGAGUGAGGCAGACAGAUGACUUUGGACCGUACUGGUGAAAAAUAAGGGCACACUUAACAUUUUGUUCAACAGUGUUUGAAGGAUAAAAAUGAUUCCUGCCUACGUGAAAAAAAU